rnacentral:rRNA from 1 species
UAGUGGGGGACAACGUGGAAACGCACGCUAAUACCGCAUACGUCCUACGGGAGAAAGGGGGCUUUAUUGCUCGCUAACAGAUGAGCCUAGGUCAGAUUAGCUAGUUGGUAGGGUAAAGGCCUACCAAGGCCGAUCUGUAGCGGGUCUGAGAGGAUGAUCCGCCACACUGGAACUGAGACACGGUCCAGUCCUACGGGAGGCAGCAGUGGGGAAUAUUGGACAAUGGGCGAAAGCCUGAUCCAGCCACCGCGUGUGUGAAGAAGGCCUUUUGGUUGUAAAGCACUUUAAGCGGGGAGGAGGGCACUGGUUAAUACCCACGAAUGUCGGACGUUACCCGCAGAAUAAGCACCGGCUAACUCUGUCAGCAGCCGCGGUAAUACAGAGGGUGCGAGCGUUAAUCGGAAUUACUGGGCGUAAAGCGCGUAGGCGGCUUGUUAAGUCGGAUGUGAAAUCCCUGGGCUCAACCUAGGCAUUGCAUGAUACUGGCAAGCUAGAGUAUGGGAGAGGAAGGUAGAAUUCCAGGUGUAGCGGUGAAACGUAGAGAUCUGGAGGAAUACCGAUGGCGAAGGCAGCCUUCUGGCCUAAUACUGACGCAGGUGCGAAAGCAUGGGGAGCAAACAGGAUUAGAUACCCUGGUAGUCCAUGCCGUAAAAUGUCAACUAGCCGUUGGGCCCCUUGAGGGCUUAGUGGCGCAGCUAACGCGAUAAGUG